UUAUAACAGCUGAAAGCGUUUCCACAAACGUAUAUGCGUAAGAGAUUGACGCAUGCCCGUCACCGCACCCUUGCUCAGCUUUUACCUGACCCUUCGAGACAACGAACACCAUUUUUCAAGGAUUCACUGCUGUCCAGCCCGCAUCACGACGGACAUCCUGCCUCGCCACAAAAUCAAAUCAUCAUAAUCAUGUACAUUGCGAUAUUCGCUUUAAUAAAGUACACCGAACGGCAACAUUUAAGGGAAGCACGCGUGGUCGUAUUGGCUGAGAGAUGAGCAAACAAAUCGCCAUGAGAGGGUGUAAAGGCCUGCUUCUUACCGCUAGUACCACUUGCUGUUUCUAUAAUGAAAGUGGAAGAAGGAGUCGAAGCAGUCGUGGACAUCAUUGAGCUAGCAAGUUCUGCUAAGCCGGCAGAAGAGGCAAGGGUGGCGGAAACAGUGACCGCCGUCGAUGAACUGGGUGGAGUUCUGAAGCUUUGAUACCUAGCCGUUGCACUGUUCUUGUACGUGCUGCGCAGUACAAGCAGAGUAUCCUUCAGCGUGAGACGGAGAAUCGGCAGUUGCUGCUUCCUCUUUUCCGCUGCUUUCAUCCAUUUCCACUUUUCGACUUCAAUCGUCCCGGAAAACGUUAGGCACACGCUCUGCAAGCACUUGACUCCAAAACUGAAGGUUAGUGUAAUAAUGCUUUUGGUGUAUUAACCAUACAGAUACAAAUACCACGAGGGCUAAUACAACAUCACUUAUCUACAAAAUUUAUACGGUGUUCCAAAACAUCGGUACUAGGCCACUCACAUCCACACGUCUCCUAAGCUCAUUCAUUGCUUCCGGUCAAAUAAUGCAACAAAUCUAAUCUUCCCAAGCGGUACCCUUCAUGGCGAAGCACGGCUGCCACCAUCCCUCCUCACAAUCUCGAACAAAGGUCGCAAGACUUGGGAGGUGAAUCUCCGGGGCGGCCAGCAAUUCUCCCUUAAAUCCCAACUCAAUCUCAAAUACCAAUGUCGCUAUCAUAAGAGGAGACCCUGAUUACGAUCCAGAGACAGUGCCGGAAACGAGACUUUUGGGAACGUCGUGGUUAAAAAAAUGGCUACCGAGGGCGCACAUAACAGGGGCACAUAUCAUGCUAGGUAUAACUUUGGGACUGUUGGCGGGUACGCUAUAUAUAUUGUUUGCCUAGAAUCCUCGGCAAUAGACAAUCGGGCUUGUCCCCUAGAUGAGAUGUCAUAGCGAUUGACUUUGG
rnacentral:sRNA from 1 species